GACGAACGCUGGCGGCGUGCUUAACACAUGCAAGUCGAACGCCCCGCAAGGGGAGUGGCAGACGGGUGAGUAACACGUGGGAACGUACCCUUUGGUUCGGAAUAACUUGGGGAAACUCAAGCUAAUACCGGAUAAGCCCUUAUGGGGAAAGGUUUACUGCCGAAGGAUCGGCCCGCGUCUGAUUAGCUAGUUGGUGAGGUAACGGCUCACCAAGGCGACGAUCGGUAGCUGGUCUGAGAGGAUGAUCAGCCACACUGGGACUGAGACACGGCCCAGACUCCUACGGGAGGCAGCAGUGGGGAAUAUUGGACAAUGGGGGCAACCCUGAUCCAGCCAUGCCGCGUGAGUGAUGAAGGCCUUAGGGUUGUAAAGCUCUUUUACCCGGGACGAUAAUGACUGUACCGGGAGAAUAAGCCCCGGCUAACUUCGUGCCAGCCGCCGCGGUAA
rnacentral:rRNA from 1 species